CUCAAACACUAAUUAACAAACAAACGGUGAGGCUUCAGCGGCAUUUAAGCUGCUUUUCUGUGUUAUGGAGCUUCUAGAAAAGGAUUUAAUGGAUAAAACUCGUGUAGAAACGAGAGAUCCUGCAGGACGAGUGGCGCUGAGGUCUGAACAGCGGGAAUCAGCAGCAGCGGCAGGACAGUCUGAGCAGAUGAAGAAUUACGGGAAGGACGAGACUGAAGCUAAGUUAAUUAAAAAUCAGUCGAGUUAAAGCAGUUGAAUCACUGGAGCAAUAAUUGAUUGUGUUAGCUGUAUCGAAUGAUAUCAGAAAAUAGGAAUUCUCCUAAAUGGGAGAGGACAGGAUAUCGAGAGAGAGAGGACGCGAGAGGCGCUAGGUGCUGCAGGAAGCAAUUACCAUCGAUAAUUUUUUUCUAAUAAACUUGUAUCCUUCAGAUGAUAACCAAUUAAACAUGCGUAAUUACGGCUCCCGUAUAGUUAUUCAUAAGACGAUUAGCAUGUCUGCCUUACUUCUAGAUUAGCCGCAUACUGAUGAGGCGCAGGUUAAGCGGCGGAUCUGGUGAUACACAUGCAAAUUUCAUGCAAAUGUGCGUGCAAAAAUAGCAGGGAGGCGACGUCAUUAAUGGCGUUGCUAAUAGGUCAUUUGCAUGCUGUUUACUCUGAUUGUACUGACGACAGGAGUCACCGGAACCGGCCGGUUCUACAGAGGCCUGGCGAGGAGCGGCGGGUCCACUGGCGGGUCCACUGGCAGGUCCACUGGCGGGUCCACUGGCGGGUCCACUGGCGGGUCCACUGGCAGGUCCACUGGCAGGUCCAACGAAGAGCCAGAACUCAUCAUUUACAUCAUAGUCUUUCUGUCUCUUAGUCUAUCUAUCUAUCUAUCUGUCUGUCUGUCUGUCUGUCUGUCUUAUGCUCACUCUCUUAAUUCAAGUUGGUUUUAUUGGCACGACUGUUUCAAAAUCAGUGUUGUUCUGUCCUUCUUUUUGUCUUUCUGUCUCCAUCCAUCGCUCUCUGCUUUCUCUGUCUCUUUCUGUGUCAAAAUUUCUCUCUCUCUCUCUGUCUCUCUCUGUCUCUCUCUGUCUCUCUCUCUCUCUCUCUCUCUCUCUCUCUCUCAGGGUUGUGAGUGUUGGGUGAGCUCUCUCAGCCGCCUAAUGCACAGCAAGACCUUCGGCUGGAGACGGGGGGCUUCAGCGUUGUCAUGACAACACCACUACACAAAUGGAAUACGAUGCGAGAGUGUGUGUGAGAGUAAGAGUACCCACCUUU